GGUGGGUGCUAGCUGUGGGCCACAUUCCACGUGGUCCGUGACGAAGUUAACACAUUAAGCACCCCGCCUGGGGAGUACGGCCGCAAGGCUAAAACUCAAAGGAAUUGACGGGGGCCCGCACAAGCGGCGGAGCAUGCGGAUUAAUUCGAUGCAACGCGAAGAACCUUACCAAGGCUUGACAUAUAGAGGAAAAGUGCAGAAAUGUACUCCCCGUAAGGUCUCUAUACAGGUGGUGCAUGGUUGUCGUCAGCUCGUGUCGUGAGAUGUUGGGUUAAGUCCCGCAACGAGCGCAACCCUCGUCCUAUGUUGCCAGCACGUUAUGGUGGGAACUCAUGGGAUACUGCCGGGGUCAACUCGGAGGAAGGUGGGGAUGACGUCAAAUCAUCAUGCCCCUUAUGUCUUGGGCUUCACGCAUGCUACAAUGGCCGGUACAGAGGGCUGCAAUACCGUAAGGUGGAGCGAAUCCCAAAAAGCCGGUCUCAGUUCGGAUUGAGGUCUGCAACUCGACCUCAUGAAGUCGGAGUCGCUAGUAAUCGUAGAUCAGCAACGCUACGGUGAAUACGUUCCCGGGCCUUGCACACACCGCCCGU
rnacentral:rRNA from 1 species